UGUUUCAUUUACUACCAUCUGCAAGCGGGUAUUGUAUUUAUCAAGCCUUUCGUUUCUUUCUGAGCUGUCCCGCAUCUAUUUCGGAGCUGGUCAGUGAGUGCAUGGGGAGCCCAUUGGAAGAUGUCUGUGGCAUGGAGUCUUCUUUGCUGUCAUUUGGGGCAUAUGGAAUGAGAAAAAUAAGAGAAAUUUUCAAGGGAAACAAUUCCCAGUCUGUGGCAUCCUUAGCAGAAUCAAUGGAGGCCUAGAUUGGGCGACAGCCAUCCAGCACUUUGGAGGAUUCUCAAGGGGGAUGAUCAUGCAUAAUUGGGAGAAAUCUUCCUGUGCCUCUAAAUGCCUGUGGGCCAUGUGUCGGAUGAGUUCAGUUUCACGGCUGUGGUCUCAUUCAGGAAUUAGAGUCCUGUUUGUUACCGUUUUAUCUCAAAUCGGGGUUUCUAUAUAGUUUUCUUUGCUCUUGGAGCCUCGUAUGUAGUUGGCUAGGGUAGCAAAGCAUGUUGUCUUUUAUAUUUUCCUAUUCAAUAAAGGAUCGUCACCCAUGAAAAAAGCUAAACACUCAAGAUUACCAGGUUUAGCAUGUUUAAACUUCAGCCACUAGAGUCGCCUGGCGAUUCUUGACUAAAUAUGUUGCUAACUAAUUGCGAUUUCCUGUUUGUUAGUGUUUGUUGCCAUUUCCUUUUUUAUUCCUAUUUUGAUUAUUUUCUAUUCUUUUUCAUACAAAAUCUUGGAGUUUGCAACCCAAAAUCUAUGUUUGGGGGAUCAAUAGAAAUUCAAUGAGUUUUCCUUUUGCAGGAAGUUCUUGGGAGAUCCGUAAAUGGUACAACGUAUGCAGGAAUCCAGGCCCAAACGACAGGAGCUCCACAGAACCAUUGGUCUGCUUGUGGAGCUCCCUUUAUCUUUUAUCAUUGUAGGACUGUAAAUUCCUUGAUGAGAGCUGGUCGCCAAAGUUUACAGUCAUUGUGGCUCAAAAGACUUCAAGAAAAGGCAGCUUUCCAAACUUCCCUUGGGUGAAUGUAUGGGAUCCUUACAAGCUCUCGGUUAUAAGCUCCAAUGUUUCCGAAGAAGAAAUAGGAGCAAUGGAAAGUGGCAUUUAAUGGUUUGCUAGUGUCAUCCAAUCUAGGCGACUGUUUGGGCAUGGUCCACUCAUAUGAUCAAUGGUCUAGAUUGCUGCACUGUAGUCCACACUGGUAGGAACUCAGGGCUUGAGGACUCUAAACUUAUCUGCGAGCUGAAGAUAUCAUAUGGUUUUCUGAAAGUUAUUUAAGGUACCAUUUUGUUUGCUUUUUUUUUUUUUUCCUCCUGCUUUUCCUUGUGUCUCAAAUCUGUAAAUUUUUUGUCCAUUAUAUAACCUUUCAUUCUCAGGAUGCCUGUAAAUGGGGCUAAUUGUAAAUGAUUUACAGGUUGUGUUUGAGUGCUGAUUUAAGCCCGUAAAUGUCUUCUAAUCUAGAAGAUUCAGCCUAGCAGAAUUUUUAAUUGUUUCUUUUUUCUUUUUCUUUUU